UUCCCCAUUCUGGGCACGUAGCGCGGUUGCGAAUGCGGACGCGGGCGUCGGACCCUCCUAUCUGACCCGGCGCAGCUCGCAUGUCUUCGUCAACGCGGGAAAACCGAUCGAUGCCACGUGGAAGUGAGGGGAAAAUCAAUGGCUGCCAUUGGUAAACAAAGAACUGAAGCUGGAGGGCGAUUACAACGGACUUCCCUUGUUGACAUACAACACUGCGUCCUGCAGGUAAUAAGGCAGGGGUGUCAAACUCAUUUUUGUCGCGGGCCACAUCGGAGUUACGAUUUCCCUCGGAGGACCCUUAUGGUGAAAUCCAUAGAAUUGCCUCCUCAUAUUCACAGGAAUCCUGGAUUUUGACACCGAGGAUUUGCCUUCGCCGGCCGGAUCUGGGCCCCAGGCCUCGAGUUUGACACCCGUGUAAUAAGGCAUCG